rnacentral:pre_miRNA from 12 species
UGGAGCAGAGGGGCAGGAGGGGCUCAGGGAGAAAGUGUAUGUCACCCCUGGCCCUCUCUGCCCUUCCGCCCCCUGUUUCUAGAC